UACAGAGGUCCCAAGCGUUGUUCGGAUUCACUGGGCGUAAAGGGUGCGUAGGCGGUUGGGUAAGUCUGAUGUGAAAGCUCGGAGCUUAACUCCGAAAUGGCAUCGGAUACUAUCCGACUAGAGGAAUGGAGGGGAGACUGGAAUACUUGGUGUAGCAGUGAAAUGCGUAGAUAUCAAGUGGAACACCAGUGGCGAAGGCGGCUCUCUGGGACGGUACUGACGCUGAGACGCGAAAGCGUGGGGAGCGAACAGG
rnacentral:rRNA from 1 species